UACGAAGGGGGCGAGCGUUGUUCGGAUUUACUGGGCGUAAAGGGCGCGCAGGCGGUCUUGAAAGUCAGGCGUGAAAGCCCCGGGCUUAACCUGGGAAUUGCGCUUGAUACUCUGAGACUGGAGUACGGGAGAGGAGAGUGGAAUUCCCAGUGUAGAGGUGAAAUUCGUAGAUAGUUGGGAAGAACACCCAGUGGCGAAGGCGGCUCUCUGGACCGUAACUGACGCUGAGGCGCGAAGC
rnacentral:rRNA from 1 species